CCCCCUCUCUCUCUCUCUCUCUCCGUCUCUCUCUCUCUCAAUCGAGCUCGCCUCCUCCCUCCCUUGUAUUGGCCGCUGGUAAGAUUUCCUUGCUUAGGCCCUCUAUAUUGUUCUACCAAAACAAGGCGACCCGAUCGCUGAGGAAGGGGAGCCUGCCCGCCUUCGAUCCGAUCCGAGAAUCAUGGUUGUGGAGACCCUAGAGCAUGAUACUACUCAAGACAACGUCAAAGGAACUGAAGGGGACACUAAACAGGGACAGGGGCCUGAGGAACCAGUGAGUUUUGGUUUGGUAGAUAAUUCAAAUGGUGCAAAUGGAGAUGUCAAAGAAGGGGAUCACCUGACCGAUGCAAAUCUUCCAAAGGAUGCUGUGGAUGAGUGGCCUGCUGCAAAAAAAAUUCACACUUUUUAUUUUAUCAGGUACAGGACCAUUGAAGACCCUAAACUUAAGGCAAAAAUUGACCAUGCUGACAAGGAGAUCACAAAGAGUACCCAAUCCAGGCUUCAGAUAACUGAAGCAUUGAAGGCAAAACGGUCUGAAAGAUCAAAUGUGAUUUCACAACUAAAGCCUCUGACUGCUGAGGACAAACAGUACCGUAUGAUUAUGGAUGAAAAGAGAAAGUCGAUGGAACCUCUUCAAGAUGCUCUAGGAAAGCUGCGCAGUGCAAAUAUUGCUGUGAGGGAAAAAGGCGUGGGUUUGUGUUCUUCAGAGGAAGAGCUUAAUGAUCUUAUCUAUAGCUUGCACUACCGUAUGCAGCAUGAGACUCUCACCUUGGUUGAAGAAAAACAGUUGAUUAAAGAGAUUAAACUACUAGAAGGAACAAGAGAAAAAGUUAUUGCUAAUGCUACUGAGAAGGCUAAGAUUCAAGAUUCUUAUGGUCAUAGAGAUGCUAUUCAAGGCCAGGUCAAACUAAUAAAUGAUGACAUUGGCGGAAUAAAAAAGGAGAAACAGGCAGUUCGAAUGAAAAUAAAAGACCUUGAGGAAGAACUGAAGGCCAUAGACGAUGAAAUCAGUUCCUUACAAGAAGAGUUGGAUGUCAUCAAUAAGAAAAGGAAUAAGGCAUAUGAAACUCUUAUUGAGUUGAGAAAAUCUCGUGAUGAAGUGAAUGCUUGUUAUUUCCAAAAUCGUUCCUUGUUAAAUCGUGCAAAGGAUCUUGCUGCAAAGAAGGAUAUAACAUCACUGGAAGACCUAAUGCAUAGUGAGGUAGAGCAAUUUAUGUCCGAGUGGAGUAGUAAUAAAGCCUUCAGAGAAGAUUAUGAGAAGAGAAUAUUGUCAUCACUUGACAGUAGGCAACUGAGUAGGGAUGGACGGAUGAGGAACCCUGAUGAGAAGCCCAUUAUCUCUGAGGCACCGGCGACCAGAGAUGUUGAGAACUUGCCGGCAAAAGUGAAUGCCAAACAAGCAUCGAGUGCUAAAGAAGCGAAGGAAGAUAAACUUGUACCUCCACAGCAGGAUGUUAUUUCUAACAAAAAGGUACAAGACACCAACAUUAAGAAAUCACCUGAGGUAGAAUCCAGAGGAAAGGUGGGAGAUCCUGUGGGCACUGGGGAUAGUUACACCCCUGAGAAAUCUCAGAAGGAGCUUCCAAAACCGACCGAGAAUGAUGUUGCAAAACUCAAGGAGAUCAAGAGAGAAGAGGAGAUUGCAAAAGCUAAGUUGGCCUUGGAGAGGAAAAAGAAGCAAGCUGAAAAAGCAGCAGCAAAGGCAGUCGUAAGAGCCCAAAAGGAAGCUGAAAAGAAACUGAAGGAAAAAGAGAAGAGAGCGAAGAAGAAGGCUGGGGCAUCGGCACCGGCUGAUAGCACGGAUGAGGCUGACGCAGAAGCAAAGGUUUCAGAGCCAGAAGAAGCUACUGUUGAUGCACCAGUUGCGGAGAAAACCAAGGAACAGAAAGAAACUGUCAGGUACAGAAACCGACCAAGGGGUCGAGAUCAGGUUCCAAAGGUCAUUCUGAGGAGGAAAAAACAACAAUCAUAUUGGAUAUGGGCUGCACCUGCAGCAGCGGUGGCUGCCUUGCUGCUGGUGUCCCUGGGUUACUACUUCAUUGUCGCCAGGAAGCAAGCAUGAAUCAUUUAGUGAGGAUGUGGACCAGUUUUGAAGUUGGGAGAACCAGGAUGAAGAAACACCCUUUUAGUGAGAACUUUAUGUUGUCUAGACUGACGUGACCGACCCUGAAACCAAGUGGGAAGUAAUGAGUUCUGAAUCGGAUUCCGAUCCAUCUUUCUAACUUUCUGUCCUACUAUUACUACUUUCUCAAGAGACUACUACAUUUCUGCGAAAAAUAUGUAUUGGCUACUAAAAGAUAAGAGUAUAUCGUGCUUUGAUAAUUAAUUUAAUUAUAUUUAGAA